rnacentral:misc_RNA from 1 species
UUUCCGUAGGUGAACCUGCGGAAGGAUCAUUAUCGAUUCAAACCAAAUGAGAGGGAAGUUGUUAUAGUAGUGCUGGCCUCUGUCAUGGAGGUAUUGUGCACGCUCGACUUCUUCCUUUCUUCAUUUACACACCUGUGAACUUGUUGUAGGGUUGUCUCGCAAGAGACGCUCUAUGUCUUUCUCAUAUACUCCAUAAUGUUUAUAGAAUGUACCUUUUUGCUCUUGUCAGAGACAAAAAUAAAGCCUUUAUAACUUUCAGCAACGGAUCUCUUGGCUCUC